CCUACGGGAGGCAGCAGUGGGGAAUAUUGCACAAUGGGGGCAACCCUGAUCCAGCGACGCCGCGUGAAGGAAGAAGUAUUUCGGUAUUUAAACCUCUAUCAGCAGGGAAGUAAAUUACGGUACCUGACUAAGAAGCCCCGGCUAACUACGUGCCAGCAGCCGCGGUAAUACGUAGGGGGCAAGCGUUAUCCGGAUUUACUGGGUGUAAAGGGAGCGUAGACGGUUUGGUAAGUCAGAAGUGAAAUCCCGGGGCUAAACCCCGGAACUGCUUUUGAUACUGUUGAACUAGAGUGCAGGCGAGGUAAGUGGAAUGCGUAGUGUAGCGGUGAAAUGCGUAGAUAUCAGGAGGAACACCGGUUGCGAAGGCAGCUUACUGGACUGCAAAUGACGUUGAGGCUCGAAAGCGUGGGGAGCAAACAGGAUUAGAUACCCCUGUAGUC
rnacentral:rRNA from 1 species